CUCGGACGGGGACUUUCUGUUGGGAAAGUCCAGUUUCAUGAGAAAUCCGACAAAGGGUCGACCGGCAGUGGACUUCGGAUGGCGUUGGGGAGGUUCGUCCGCUGGAGGAGUAUGGAGGAUCCUGUGGAAGUCUGAUUGGCGUUGUUGAAGUCCAGCUGACACUAUUGAAGGUUGAUGGCUGGGGAGGUACGGCAGACACCGGAGGCGGUCGGUCGUUGUAGAAAUCUAGCUGCUGGAGUCCGUCUGUUGUAGAAGUUUGUUCGGAAUCCAUCCGCUACGGAAGUUCAGGCAGAGUCCGAUUCUUGUAGAAAUCCAGAUGGGGACCGCUUAUUGAAGAAGCUCGACUGAAGUCCGCCUGUAACAGAAGUUCGGAAGGAAUUCGUUUACAGUAGAAGCUCGGAUGGAAUUCACUUACAGUAGAGAUCCGGAGUAGAUCGCUCGUAGUAGAAGUUC
rnacentral:lncRNA from 1 species